UUUCCGUGGGUGAACCUGCGGAAGGAUCAUUACUGAGUGAGGGCCCUCUGGGUCCAACCUCCCACCCGUGUUUAUUAUACCUUGUUGCUUCGGUGAGCCCGCCUCACGGCCCCCGGGGGGCAUCUGCCCCCGGGCCCGCGCCCACCGAAGACACCUAGAACUCUGUAUGAAGAUUGCAGUCUGAGCAAAGACUAAAUAAGUUAAAACUUUCAACAACGGAUCUCUUGGUUCCG
rnacentral:misc_RNA from 1 species